AGUUACUUUCAGAUCUCUUGAAAGUGCAUUUACGAGUGAUUUGCAAGAUUCAGCUUCUGCUGCUCACCAAAACAGAGCAGCCAUGAUCAGGGCAGAACUUACACCGAUAUUUUCUGAGGCAUUCCCUUCCUUCUUGAUCCUGACAAUCAUCACGUUCAGGAGGGGCUCAGUUGUCAAUAUCAUGGAUGUUGAGUUCACAGCCACAUCUGCGCCAGGCAACACCCAAAUUGAGGACAUCUUAUCUGAGGCGGCGUUAGUGGUCACUGGCUUCGACAUUGAACAAAGCUCCAUCACUGUUGAUUCAACACCCACAGAUGCAAUAACUACAGUGACAACCCCAAAAGACACAACAGCUGUAGAAACAACUGCAGAUCAGACAACUCCAGUAACAUUGGUUCCAGCAAC